rnacentral:rRNA from 1 species
CACGUAGGGCGCAAGCGUUGUCCGGAAUUAUUGGGCGUAAAGAGCUCGUAGGCGGUCUGUUGCGUCCGCUGUGAAAACCCGGGGCUUAACCCUGGGCUGGCAGUGGAUACGGACAGACUAGAGGUAGGUAGGGGAGAAUGGAAUUCCCGGUGUAGCGGUGAAAUGCGCAGAUAUCGGGAGGAACACCGGUGGCGAAGGCGGUUCUCUGGGCCUUACCUGACGCUGAGGAGCGAAAGCCAGGGGAGCAAACGGG